AAGAUUAGAAAAUCCUAGCAGCUACGAGACGCCAGGCUCUGCACAAAGUUAAAAAGAGAAAAGCGCCCCGUGUAGCCCACCUGUCCCCACUCCUCUUCCUACCUUCCGCCGUUCAGAAGCAUCAGAGAAUAAAUCUCUCCUCCGGUUAUGCUGCGUUUCUCAUUAAAAAUAAAGAAUCUAACACGCUUACCAACCUCAUUUAACCCAGAAGUAAUGAAAGAAAUGUAAUAGUUCCCAGAGCGCCGAGGUCAAUUUCCAAAAGGAAGCCCGGGCCCUGAUCCUGCGAGGCGCUCAGCAGAGACAUCUGGUUGUACUCAGCGCGGCGCAGGAUCGCGCUUUGAUCCAUUAACACGUGAAUCUCACGAGCGGGACACUUUUUCGUAUAAUGGCUCAGCUUCGGGUCUGAUGUAAGAAGCUGAAACUGCAGAAUACACCUGCUGUCCUUGGGGGAAAACACAACGCCGGUGUUGUGUUCGCACAGGUAACAGAAGAACAAAGAGGCUGCAUUUAAUCAGAGCAGUUUACCCACAAACACGCCGGUUUACCUUUCCGUGUGUUCACGGGCCUAAAAAUGCCUAAAAGUUUCGUGCCUCUCGAGCCCCUUUUUUAGUCAAGCAACUAGACUGAGAGUACCCAGAGAAUCGUCCGUUAGAGUGGCAAUGUAAAAAGACACUGAUGUAACUCAUUUAAUAAAAUUCUUAACAAUGCACGUCUAAUUUUAGAACGUUUUUCCACUCUGACUCACAUACAGCACACUCCAAAACUAAUAAGGGGCCUAACUCAAACACUGCCUUCUAAACAGGAACGGCCGGGAUACAAUGCAGUUUAUCUUCCUCGGAGAAAAAAGCUUUCAGGAGUUACUAAAAAUGACCCAUACGCGGCGGUUUCUUAGAAAGCAAGGGUCCUGCCUCACGAGAAAAUGACAAACAGAGCGCAGCAUGACAAAACCUGACAGGAGGUUAAGCUGGAAAGUUAGAAAAAAAGAAAAAGACAGUAAACGACUGGUGUCGACUAAGUUGAGCAGCACAAAACAUAAGGAAGAAGUAAAUCCAUAGGCUGUGCAACCGAUCCGCCCUGUCCGCCGCUUGUUAGCAGUUAUGUCAGUUGCACGAACCUUUCAGUCUGCUAAUUUGCUGGAUAUAUUUUGUUAUAAUUGGAGCUGUAAGCUCCCUGGGAAGUUGUGAUAGGGAGCCCGGCUCCCCUGUCCGGCGCUUUCUCUCCUUCUCGGGGAGGCGUGUCGCUUAUUUAAAACAAAUCUCCCAAAGCCCAGGCGCGGGCAGUGAUCCAACCUCUAGCUACACGAACGUGUCUUGGAUGAGCAAUGAACCCGGUCCGGAGCUGUCGCCUUCCAACGUGAGCCACUAAAGCACUCGCCAUCCAAAAAAAACAAGAAAAGAAAGGGAGAAAAGAUACUGGCUGGGAAGGAACCUGUCAAUGGGAAGGGGAGACAAAAGCUUUUCGAGGAGGGUGUUUUUUUGUUUUAGCACUUGGUCCAAAUUAAUUCCAGAAGCGUACGAGCAGCAGCUCGCCCCAAAAGGGGAACUUUUUCCUUCGUCUAAGCGGUAAUUGCACUAUUCCUAGCACCCCCUGCCUACCUACACAGGGAAGGGAAGGGCUCGAGGCCACAGCAACUUCCUACAAGACACAGCCAGCCAAGCUCCCCGCUUAGGAAAGGAACACCGAAAGGAACCAGGACGACUUUAUUUAAUGGAAAACACCCACAGAGAGAAGACAGUCGCUUUUUUUUUUUUUUUUUUUUACAUUUAAUUUAAUGAAGGUUUGAGCAGAGCGUGCAGCAGCGCCCCACAGCCUGCCGUGGCAGCGAGUCCUGGCAGCAGGGAGCACCUCCUGACCCUCCUGUAAAGCUCCUUGCUUUAAGACAUGAUAAAUAGUAAAAAAAAUAAUAAAACAAUAAAUAAUAAUAACUAAGUUUCACCCUUGCCUCGCUAAAGAGCUGGGGGGGAGGGGGGGUGGGAUACAAACGGCGGCUCUGGGACACCUUCGGCGGCCGGCUGGUGCUUUCGGCCUCUGAGGGGAGGAAGAGGAGGAGGAGGAGGCUGAGGAAGAUGAGGAGGAGGAAGAUGAGGAGGAGCAGCAGCCGCCCGGCAGGGGGGGCGCCCCCCUCCGCCACCACCGAGCGGGCACGGAGCCGCGUGUGAGGGAGGAGGAGGACGAUGAGAAAGAUGACGAUGAAGGUGAGGAGGAGGAAGGGGAGGAAGAAGCGGAGGCGCGGUGCAGCAAACGCAGCGCCCCUGGACUGCAGAGCUGAGGACCAGAAGAGUGGAGGCACCGAGCACCUUUUGGAGGCCACCAAUAUUUGUGUAAUUUCACCGAUUUCUCCUUCCAGACGAUCUCGGAGGUCUUCUCCAACCUUAAUUUGGUGAUUCCAAGCUCCACACACAGAAGUUCUCCAGAUCCAGGCGUUGGGCAGCUGGCGAUGCCCCGGGUCCUGAGCUGGAGGCUGGCCUCCUCUUCCUCCCUGCUUUCCUCCUCAGAGGCCACAGAGCGGGGUGGAGGCCACCAGAGGAUCUCAGGAUCUUUUCCGACAGCCAUCCAUCCGAGCUGAAGUGCUGGGCACUGCUUCCACGUGUUGUUUGUGUGCCCCGCGGUGGAUGAUUUCGGUCUGAAAAGUCACCCCUCAGUGCCUUGAGGGGCCGUAAUCGGGUGCUCCAACCUAAAGUUCCCUGAGCUUUUCCCCAUUGCCUCUAUCACUCCAUCUCAUUUAAAUGAAAAAAAAAUAAUAAAUAAAUAAAUAAGACACGAAACAUACAGAAAACCAAGAUAAAACAAGGAACGCUGCAGAUUUUUUAAGCCCUGACUUACAGAAUUUUUUCUCCUCUGAUUUCUUUGUAGGGGAUGGAGGAAGUGAAUCACAUUCGCCUUUUUCUCACAAGGGUUGGACAGAUAUUUCUUUAAUAGAGCAGGGAAAAAAUAAUAAUAAUACUGAGAUUCCAGGUGGCAGCAUGAGCAAAAGAAAACCUGAAUACACCAAAAUUCACACCAAGGUGGAGAGGUCCGGUGACACCACCCCACGCCCCACGUUCUGUUUGCGAAUGGCUGGGUUUUGGGGUGAGGAGAGGGAAAAUGGGGCAUGGCGCAAAGGGGGCAAGGUGCUGAAAUGGGGGAUGGUGCACGGCAGGGAUGCGAAUGGCAGCCUCCUGCCUGACGUUGCACGCAUCAGUGAGAUUGCAUGGUGAAAUUAUCCAUGUAGCAUUUUCCUACGGUUAAAUAAUGGUGUUCUAGGACUUAACAAAUAAAUAAACAAAAAUGACUGAAUGUCUUUUUUCCUCUUUUAAAGGCUUUUUUGCUGUCUGGCGUGCAGUUCUGCAGAAAUCCCCCGAUCUGGAGCGGUUUGGUCCAGCGCCAUGAAAACGGUCUGCUCCACACACCUUUGGAAGUGGAAAAAAACAGGAAAAAAAAAACCAAAAAGAGAUAAAGAGCCCUCUGUGCAUGCCCCGGGGUGCUGCCUGACGGGCGCUGUCACACCAAAGCCGGCUGCUCCUGCACCAGGAGCACGCAGCGGGCGGCCUUCACCUUUACAGGUGCGGCCGGGGCUGGAGCAGCUCAAAUUUCUGUGGCCGAAGGUAAAUCCGAGCGAUGGGCCUGGCGAUGCAGGCGGCAGGUUUGGUUCUGCUACUUUAGAGCUUGCCGGAUUCAGCGCUUGUAAUCUCCCCUUUCUGUUUCUUAAACGUCAGCAGAAGUGGUUUUGUUUUUUGUUUUUAAUACCUACAACCUUCCCAUGGCAAGGUUUCUAAGUGAGAAGCUGCAGCGUCACGAGAGCAUGAUAAAACAGAGCUGAUUAAAGCCAGGGUAAGGAACGGCAA